AUUGAACGCUAGCGGCAGGCUUAACACAUGCAAGUCGAACGAGUGGCGGCCGGUUGAUUAAUGUCUGGGACAGUGCCCGGUGGCGGGGGAUAACUACUGGAAACUUUGGCUAAUACCGCAUACCAUCGGAUGUGCCCAGAUGGGAUUAGCUAGUAGGUGGGGUAAUGGCUCACCAGGGCGACGAUCCGUAGCUGGUGUGAGAGGAUGACCAGCCACACUGGAACUGGGACACGGUCCAGACUCCUACGGGAGGCAGCAGUGGGGAAUAGUGGACAAUGGGGGAAAGCCUGAUCCAGCCAUGCCGCGUGUAUGAAGAAGGCCUUCGGGUUGUAAAGUACUUUAAGCUGGGAGGCGUUACCCGCAGAAGAAGCACCGGCUAACUGCGUGCCAGCCGCCGCGGUAAUUC
rnacentral:rRNA from 1 species